rnacentral:rRNA from 1 species
CCGCAGCUCGAUUGGUGGGCAGGAGGUUUAUUGGGCCUAAAGCAUCCGUAGCCGGUUGUUUAAGUCUUCGGUUAAAUCUAUGCGCUCAACGUAUAGGCCGCCGAAGAUACUGGACAGCUAGGGAGUGGGAGAGGUACACGGUACUCGAUAGGAAGGGGUAAAAUCCUUUGAUCUAUUGAUGACCACCUGUGGCGAAGGCGGUGUACCAGAACACGUUCGACGGUGAGGGAUGAAAGCUGGGGGAGAAAACCGG